rnacentral:rRNA from 1 species
UACGUAGGGGGCGAGCGUUAUCCGGAAUUAUUGGGCGUAAAGAGUACGUAGGUGGUUUUGUAAGCGCAAGGUGAAAGCCCGGGGCUUAACUCCGGCGAGCCUUGUGAACUGCAAGACUUGAGUGCAGGAGGGGAAAGUGGAAUUCCUAGUGUAGCGGUGAAAUGCGUAGAUAUUAGGAGGAACACCGGUGGCGAAGGCGACUUUCUGGACUGUAACUGACACUGAGGUACGAAAGUGUGGGGAGC